rnacentral:tRNA from 1 species
GGAGGGCUGGCCGAGCGGUCUAUGGCGGCUGACUUGAAAUCAGUUGGAGCGUGAGCUCCCGGGGGUUCGAAUCCUCCGCUCUCCGCCA